rnacentral:lncRNA from 1 species
GAGAGCUACAUCAUGGCAGAGCUGGGAUUUAUACCUGGAUGUAGAAGAAACACAGUAAAAGAAUAGGAGGUCAGAUGAGGCAACAACAUAUGGCAGAAUCAACAGCAAUAUACCAACCCCAAAAUGACCAAAGAGACAAACUUUCAAUAAUUUGUUUGAACCAGUAAUAGUGUUACUAAUACCCAAUAAUCAAAUCAGACCAAAAAUGAACCAAAACACUCAAACACCAAUAUAUUCGACUCAUUUUGAUCUUCAGCUUGUUAAGGGAUUAUUUAAGAAUGGGAUAUCAUUAAUUUCGGUAUAUGCUAAUAGAACAGUUAAAAAUUUUGCAGUUUUUAGCUGCCUAUAUUUUC